UUUAGUGAAAUUCUUAACCUCGAUGAAAGUAUUUCAGAUGUAUUUGACUAUAUCUUUUCAGUAGGUGGCAACGUGAAAGGGGAAAUACAAGCGUGAUGGGUGAUCUUGCUGAGCUUAGCAGCUUGCCAGGCCGUUCAUGGGUUUUCUUGGCUCUUCAUGGAGACUGGAGGGUGUCGGUUUCUGAACGGCUGGGGACACGAAGCCACGUUGCAUCCUGCAGUGACGGCAUCUCGGUUUCUACGAAAUGUGGGAUUACCUUAUUCAGUGCCGAGACCCUGAGCGUGCAAGCCUGCGCUUGACCUUGUUUGGAAUGCUGAUACCAACACCAGUUGGACGGGACUUUGGGAGACUUCAGAUGGCCCUUGUGUGUCCACGCUGGACUCCUCUGAAGACUGUGAGAUCCGCUCAGAGUGAGUUAAACACCGAGAACUGCAAGGCGGCUGCAUGCUUUCUUGUUUCCUCUUGCUUUGUGGAAUAAAGAAUCAAAGCAGCAACAUGAAACAAUUUCUGCAAUCCUUCUGCUGACAUCCGGGAGAAAGUCUCAUCUAGAUGCUGCUCUGCCCUUAAACCCUCUCCAAUACUUGCAAACCUGCCUUGUUGGCGAGCACCCGUGGCCUACAGCUCAGAGUCUUUAGUAGAUAACAGAAUCUAGUGUGAAUCUCAUAACAUGUCUUUGCUUUUUCAAAAUUUAUUUUUAAUGAUUGCCUUCUUUUUCAUUUAUUGCA